rnacentral:rRNA from 1 species
GACAGAGGUGCCGAGCGUUAGGCGGAAUCACUGGGCUUAAAGCGUGUGUAGGCGGACUUCUAAGUACCUUGUGAAAUCCCAUGGCUCAACCAUGGAACUGCUUGGUAUACUGGUUGUCUUGAGCCACUUAGGGGCAGUCGGAACAGACGGUGGAGCGGUGAAAUGCGUAGAUAUCGUCUGGAACGCCAACGGUGAAAACAGGUAGCUGGGGGUGUGCUGACACUGAGACACGAAAGCCAGGGGAGCAAACGGG